CCUACGGGAGGCAGCAGUGGGGGAUAUUGCACAAUGGACGCAACUCUGAUGCAGCGACGUCGCGUGAGGGAAGACGGUCCUCUGAUUGGUAACCCUUGUCUUUGGGGGAGAAAAUGACGGUACCCAAAGAGUAAGCUCCGGCUAACUACGUGCCAGCAGCCGCGGUAAUACGUCGGGAGCGAGCGUUGUCCGGAAUGAUUGGGUGUAAAGGGAGCGUAGGCGGGCGUGAAAGUUGCAUGUUAAAUCUACCGGCUUAACUGUUAACUGCGUUUAAAACUUCUUGUCUUGAGUGAAGUAGAGGCAGGCGGAAUGCCUAGUGUAGCGGUGAAAUGCGUAGAUAUUAGGAGGAACACCGGUGGCGAAGGCGGCCUGCUGGGCUUUAACUGACGCUGAGGCUCGAAAGCGUGGGGAGCAAACAGGAUUAGAUACCCCUGUAGUC
rnacentral:rRNA from 1 species